ACGGGGGGAGGAAAGUAGGGGAUCGUAAGACCUUGUGCUUUUAGAGCGGCCGAUGCCUGAUUAGCUUGUUGGUGGGGUAAUGGCCUACCAAGGCGACGAUCAGUAGCUGGUCUGAGAGGACGACCAGCCACACUGGGACUGAGACACGGCCCAGACUCCUACGGGAGGCAGCAGUGGGGAAUUUUGGACAAUGGGCGAAAGCCUGAUCCAGCCAUGCCGCGUGAGUGAAGAAGGCCUUCGGGUUGUAAAGCUCUUUCGGUCGGGAAGAAAUAGUUGCGGCCAAUAUCUGCAACAAAUGACGGUACCGACAUAAGAAGCACCGGCUAACUACGUGCCAGCAGCCGCGGUAAUACGUAGGGUGCAAGCGUUAAUCGGAAUUAUUGGGCGUAAAGGGUGCGCAGGUCGUUAUAUAAGUCAGAUGUGAAAUCCCUGGGCUUAACCUAGGAAUUGCGUUUGAAACUACAAAGCUAG
rnacentral:rRNA from 1 species